ensembl:lncRNA
GAAGUACCUGCCUUAAAACAUAUUAGCUGCAUUUAACAUUCAGUUACUCUUUAUAUAGUUAGGUAGGAGUCAGACCAUGUUUGUUUUUAGCUGAAAAACAUUACACCAGAGAGACAGCCAGGUUCAUAUUGGAUAUGAGGAAGUUUUUUCAAAAACAGGAGCCACAUUCAGUCCAAAGAGGGAGAGAGGAAAGAGGAGAACAUGAGGAGAAAGUACAAGAUCAGGAAGAACCAGGUAAGAAAACAGACAGGGAGUACUAAAAGGCAAAACAAACUGUUAAACUGGCAAAGAAAAAAAACCCCCAACUAAUUUUACUCAUACAAUCUGGAAGUUGUGUUCUCCCUAUAUUAAAGCUGCUGAACAGAAUCUGCAAAACAAACUGGGUUGUCAGCCCUGGCACUGCAUUACUAUAUUGAGCUUCAGUCAGAGGAAGUCACGGUUGCCAAAAACUUUUUGAAGCUCAAGAGUGAGGCUGGUGCCAUUCCAGAUAUGUUAACAUUGUACAAUCUUCUGGAUAAUCAAAUCUUCCCCACACUGAAAACUGUUAUUCAGGUUGCCCUAACAAACCCAGUUAGCAGCUGUAGCUGUGAAAGGUCUUUUAGUGUCUUGCGUCAGCUCCAUACCUGGCUGAGAAGGACCAUGGGUCAAAGCAGACUCCAGCACCUGGCUGUGAUGUCAGUUGAGAAAGAUGCUUGAGAGACUUGACCACCAAAAUGUGAUAGACAGAUUUGCCAACCUCAAGGUGAGGCGACAUAGGUUAAAAGAAAAGAAAAAAUCUGCAGGGCCAUAGUAGUAUCUAAAGAUCUUUUCAUACACUGUAUACAUUGUACCAUAGGCCAAGGUGUCUCCAUUUUUCUAAUUUUUUAAAUAAUAUUUUGUACAUUUCAAGGACUCUUCUAUUUUUGGAGUGUAUUUUUAUGUAUCUGUAUUAUAUUAUACAUACACAUUAAAAGUGAAUCUCUGUCCCA